rnacentral:rRNA from 1 species
AGCAGCCGCGGUAAUUCCAGCUCCAAUAGCGUAUAUUAAAGUUGUUGCAGUUAAAAAGCUCGUAGUUGAAUUUCGGGGUUAGUAGGUUGGUCAUGCCUCUGGUAUGUACUGGUCUCACUGAUUCCUCCUUCCUGAUGAACCUUAAUGCCAUUAAUUUGGUGUUUUGGGGAAUUUGGACUGUUACUUUGAAAAAAUUAGAGUGUUUAAAGCAAGCUAACGCUUGAAUACAUUAGCAUGGAAUAAUGAAAUAGGACGUUUGAUUCUAUUUUGUUGGUUUCUAGGAUCAACGUAAUGAUUAAUAGGGAUAGUUGGGGGCAUUAGUAUUCAAUUGUCAGAGGUGAAAUUCUUGGAUUUAUUGAAGACUAACUACUGCGAAAGCAUUUGCCAAGGAUGUUUUCAUUAAUCAAGAACGAAAGUUAGGGGAUCGAAGACGAUCGGAUACCGUCGUAGUCUUAACCAUAAACUAUGCCGACUAGGGAUCGGAUGAUGUUAAUUUUUUAAUGACUCAUUCGGCGCCUUACG